rnacentral:rRNA from 1 species
GACGAACGCUGGCGGCGUGCUUAACACAUGCAAGUCGAACGGAAAGGCCCUGCUUUUGUGGGGUGCUCGAGUGGCGAACGGGUGAGUAACACGUGAGUAACCUGCUCUUGACUUUGGGAUAACUUCAGGAAACUGGGGCUAAUACCGGAUAGGAGCUCCUGCUGCAUGGUGGGGGUUGGAAAGUUUCGGCGGUCGGGGAUGGACUCGCGGCUUAUCAGCUUGUUGGUGGGGUAGUGGCUUACCCAGGCUUUGACGGGUAGCCGGCCUGAGAGGGUGGCCGGCCACAAUAGGACUGAGGGACGGCCCAGAGUCCUACGGGGGGCAGCGGUGGGGAGUAUGACACAGUGAGCGGGAGCGUGAUGAGGCGGCGCCGCGUGCGGGAAGAAGGCCUUGGGGUGAUGAACGGAUUUCGCCUAUGACGAAGCGUGAGUGACGGUAAUGGGUGAAGAAGCACCGGCUAACUACGUG